rnacentral:lncRNA from 1 species
GUUUUCAGUAGAAUUUAGCAAAACUUGCAUUGGUUCCUGUGAGAAAACACACUUAGGGCCCUCGGUGGGCCAAACAAAAGAAGAAAACUGAAACUCACCGGUGGUGGGGCUCUCCGGUGCGGCAGCUCCUCCAGCUCACGUUGCGGUUGGGUGUUUUGCUUCGGUCAACCUGUAAAAAAAGAAACGGUGAUCAAAACGGUGGAAAAAUUACAUCGAACGGGAAUCGGGAAGGGUCUCAUCGGAGGGAUUUUUUGAAACACCCU